GGACGGUAGAUAGAAAUGGUGUAUUUUAUUUGGUAUUCGGAAUCAAGUGGUGUAAUAGAGCGGUCACCUCAUAGAGAAUGCGAAGUGAUGUCUCCGAGCUGUCUGUGCUUUGCGCGAAUCUAUUAUGUAAAUUAGGAGAUAAAGCACAUUUAAAAACGAAUAUUAUGUUAACGUCCACGAUUUAUACGCAUAGAAGUGUUAAGCUGGAAGCGGGAAGUACAUGACAGAUUGCGCAAAAUAUAGGAAGUCUGGAAUUUCGGGACGAGUUAUCAAUACUACAGGAAAUGAGUAACGGUCGCCGAAUUUGUCACAUUCAAAUUUAAAUUUCUUCAUCAAAUAUACAAUAAUGGUACCUAUAUAAAUAUAACACUUAGACAUAACGAAUAAUUUAAUAGCAACGUAAUGACUUUUGAUAUAAAAUUUGUGUUACUUUUAUGACUAGUUGAAAAUUCUAUAAACAUUACGUGUUCUAUCUCGAAGCGUUUAUCGUUUCUUAUUAUCUGUUGUGAGAGAAAUAAUAAAAAUAGCUUGAUUUGUUCGGCGAACAAAUAAAGGAAUGAAAAGAAUGUAUUCAAUUACGUUUGUAUUCCAAGAAAUGUCAAUAUUUUCACAUUUAAUUGCUAUACGCGCUGAAUGAUUGUUGUUUGUUCGUGAAGAAGACUUUUUUAAUGAGUUGUUUAAUUUUGCGAUCCUAAUACAGAUUUAUUACAGACUUAUGUAUAAGAUACAUGAAAAUAUUAUUUUAAGAGGAACAUACCUAUUAUACAGUACCGAAUAGAUACGAAGAAUUUUCAUAAUAUUUUAAAUGCGAUCUUGUGAUUUGAUUUACUUGGAAGUUUCUUAGUUUAGAACUAUAAAAAUUUUUAUGAAACCGUAGAUAGUAUUGUGUUUAACAUAUUAAAUUAAUACAUAGCCUUAGUCCUUCCUUUCAAAGGGGAAGUUGUUUCAAGCUUGUAUUUCAAGAACAAAUGUAUGUAACAGUUCUUUCAAACUUAUUUAAGGUAGAAAAUAAGCAUAGAACAUUAUAACAAAUAUUAUGUAACGAGCGAAACAAAAUC